rnacentral:rRNA from 1 species
UACUCCUACGGGAGGCAGCAGUGGGGAAUAUUGCGCAAUGGGGGGAACCCUGACGCAGCCAUGCCGCGUGAAUGAAGAAGGCCUUCGGGUUGUAAAGUUCUUUCGGUAUUGAGGAAGGUUGAUGUGUUAAUAGCACAUCAAAUUGACGUUAAAUACAGAAGAAGCACCGGCUAACUCCGUGCCAGCAGCCGCGGUAAUACGGAGGGUGCGAGCGUUAAUCGGAAUAACUGGGCGUAAAGGGCACGCAGGCGGUUAUUUAAGUGAGGUGUGAAAGCCCUGGGCUUAACCUAGGAAUUGCAUUUCAGACUGGGUAACUAGAGUACUUUAGGGAGGGGUAGAAUUCCACGUGUAGCGGUGAAAUGCGUAGAGAUGUGGAGGAAUACCGAAGGCGAAGGCAGCCCCUUGGGAAUGUACUGACGCUCAUGUGCGAAAGCGUGGGGAGCAAACAGGAUUAGAUACCCUGGUAGUCCACGCUGUAAACGCUGUCGAUUUGGGGGUUGGGGUUUAACUCUGGCGCCCGUAGCUAACGUGAUAAAUCGACCGCCUGGGGAGUACGGCCGCAAGGUUAAAACUCAAAUGAAUUGACGGA